GCUUAACGCGAAGAACCUUACCAGGAUUUGACAUGCUCUCUAUGAGACUCUGAAAGGAGUCUCUUCACUUCGGGUGGGAGAUGCACAGGUGCUGCAUGGCUGUCGUCAGCUCGUGUCGUGAGAUGUUGGGUUAAGUCCCGCAACGAGCGCAACCCUCAUUCUCUGUUGCUAACAGGUUAGGCUGAGCACUCUGAGAAAACUGCCGGUGAUAAGCCGGAGGAAGGUGGGGAUGACGUCAAGUCCUCAUGGCCCUUACAUCCUGGGCUACACACGUGUUACAAUGGUGGUGACAAUGGGUCGCUAACCCGCAAGGGUAUGCUAAUCUCCCAAAAAGCCACCUCAGUUCAGAUUGUACUCUGCAACUCGAGUACAUGAAGUUGGAAUCGCUAGUAAUCGUGGAUCAGCACGCCACGGUGAAUACGUUCCCGGGUCUUGUACACAC
rnacentral:rRNA from 1 species